rnacentral:rRNA from 1 species
ACUGAGACACGGCCCAAACUCCUACGGGAGGCAGCAGUACGGAAUUUUCGGCAAUGGAGGAAACUCUGACCGAGCAACGCCGCGUGAACGAUGAAGUACCUCGGUAUGUAAAGUUCUUUUAUUAAGGAAGAAAAAAGAGUGGAAAAACUCCCUUGACGGUACUUAAUGAAUAAGCCCCGGCUAAUUAUGUGCCAGCAGCCGCGGUAAUACAUAAGGGGCGAGCGUUAUCCGGAAUUAUUGGGCGUAAAGGGUGCGUAGGCGGUUUAAUAAGUCUAUAGUUUAAUUUCAGUGCUUAACGCUGUUGUGCUAUAGAAACUGUUUUACUAGAGUGAGAUAGAGGCAAGCGGAAUUCCAUGUGUAGCGGUAAAAUGCGUAAAUAUAUGGAGGAACACCAGAGGCGUAGGCGGCUUGCUGGGUCUUUACUGACGCUGAGGCACGAAAGCGUGGGGAGCAAACAGGAUUAGAUACCCUGGUAGUCCACGCCGUAAACGAUGAGUACUAAGUGUCGGGUAAAACCGGUACUGAAGUUAACACAUUAAGUACUCCGCCUGAGUAGUACGUACGCAAGUAUGAAACUUAAAGGAAUUGACGGGACUCCGCACAAGCGGUGGAUCAUGUUGUUUAAUUCGAAGAUACACGAAAAACCUUACCAGGUCUUGACAUUUUCUUGCGAAGUUAUAGAAAUAUAAUGGAGGUUAUCAGGAAAACAGGUGGUGCAUGGUUGUCGUCAGCUCGUGUCGUGAGAUGUUAGGUUAAGUCCUAAAACGAGCGCAACCCUUGUCGUUAAUUGCCAGCAUGUAAUGAUGGGGACUUUAACGAGACUGCCAAUGAAAAAUUGGAGGAAGGUGGGGAUUACGUCAAAUCAUCAUGCCCCUUAUGAUCUGGGCUACAAACGUGAUACAAUGGUUGAUACAAAGAGUAGCUGAAACGCGAGUUCUUAGCCAAUCUCACAAAAUCAAUCUCAGUUCGGAUUGAAGUCUGCAACUCGACUUCAUGAAGUUGGAAUCGCUAGUAAUCGCGAAUCAGCAUGUCGCGGUGAAUACG